rnacentral:misc_RNA from 1 species
AAGUCGUAACAAGGUUUCCGUAGGUGAACCUGCGGAAGGAUCAUUUGCAAGGAGGAUUGGGGGGUUGGUGGGGAGUUUUGGGUUUGGGUUGGGGAUGGAUUCUCUUCCCCUUGCUCUUGCUCUUUACCUGCCCUGAUACAUUUGCGUGAAAGAGUGGUCAGAGUGUUGUUGGGAUGGAAAGAGACAACUUUUAACAAUGGAUCUCUUGGCUCUU